rnacentral:tRNA from 1 species
GCUCGUCUAGUUCAGUUGGUAGAGUGCAAGGCUCUUAACCUUUUGGUCGUGGGUUCGAGCCCCACAAUGGGCG